rnacentral:rRNA from 1 species
CAUCGAUGGGUGACCCUUGGGAAGUCCUCGUGAUGCACCAAUUUGUGCGAUCAUACCAGCACUAAUGCACCGGAUCCCGUCA